AGUUUAGGGGCUCCUUCGGGAGCACCGGCGGACUGCUCAGUAACACGUGGACAACCUACCCUCGGGUGGGGGAUAACCUCGGGAAACUGAGGCUAAUACCCCAUAGGCCUCGGAUACUGGAAGGUUCCGAGACCGAAAGCUCCGGCGCCCGAGGAUGGGUCUGCGGCCUAUCAGGUAGUUGGUGGUGUAAAGGACCACCAAGCCUACGACGGGUACGGGCCCUGAGAGGGGGAGCCCGGAGAUGGACUCUGAGACACGAGUCCAGGCCCUACGGGGCGCAGCAGGCGCGAAACCUUCGCAAUGCGCGAAAGCGCGACGAGGGGAGCCCGAGUGCCCUUCCUUUCGGGAGGGCUUUUCUGGAGCCUAAAAAGCUCCAGGAAUAAGGGCUGGGCAAGACGGGUGCCAGCCGCCGCGGUAAUACCCGCAGCUCGAGUGGUGGCCACUAUUAUU
rnacentral:rRNA from 1 species